rnacentral:rRNA from 1 species
AUGAAGCCCUUCGGGGUGUAAACUUCUGAACUCGGGACGAUGAUGACGGUACCGAGGUAAUAGCACCGGCUAACUCCGUGCCAGCAGCCGCGGUAAUACGGAGGGUGCGAGCGUUACCCGGAUUUACUGGGCGUAAAGGGCGUGUAGGCGGUCUUUCAAGUCCGAUGCUAAAGACUGGGGCUCAACCCCAGGGGUGCGUUGGAUACUGUGAGGCUAGACGGUCGGAGGGGGUAGCGGAAUUUCCGGAGUAGCGGUGAAAUGCGCAGAUACCGGAAGGAAC